AGCGAACGCUGGCGGCAGGCCUAAUACAUGCAAGUCGAACGCACCUUCGGGUGAGUGGCGGACGGGUGAGUAACGCGUGGGAAUAUGCCCUUUGGUACGGAACAACCCAGGGAAACUUGGGCUAAUACCGUAUGUGCCCUUCGGGGGAAAGAUUUAUCGCCAUUGGAGUAGCCCGCGUUGGAUUAGCUAGUUGGUAGGGU
rnacentral:rRNA from 1 species